AAUUCAUAAAUAACAAAAAUGCAACACGAUUUCAAUAAACAUUUGUGACGUGAAAUUUGUUCUUGAAACAUUAAUAAAUUAUUUUCUGUCAAAAUAUUUGAAGAAUUCAAUUUUUGUUAACAAAAAUGUCGUCAGAUUCGUCAAUUGAAGUACUUUCAGAUAAUGCUCACAGUCCACCUAGUAAAAUGGAUAUAGCAGACAAUGGUAGUGCACUUAAACGUAAAAAGCGUAAACAUAAGAGUAAACAUAAAAAGCAUAGUACGGAAAAAGUACGCAAACAUAAGAAACAUAAGCGGAAGGUAUCUGUAAGUGAUGAGUCCGAUGCCGAAACAACACCUAAAACAAAGCGUCCCAAGGACGUUGUUAUUGAUUUAGUUACUACUGAUCCUGUCCCAAUUUCAGAUGUUAGAUACACUCCAGAAUUAUCUCCAACCAGAAUGAAACAAAUUAAUGGAAAUAAAAUACUCAAAAAAGUUAACACAGAUCCAGCUGCGGUAGUUGAAGAUAUCACAGCUGGAUUAGUAAAGUUACCCGAUAAUGUGUCUUUGGAAGUUAUAUCCUCUGAAAGUGAGCCAGAACCAGUCGUGGAAUACGAUAGUGAAGAUAUUGAUGUUGGAAUUAUUGAAGAAGAUAUGAAUCUUGAAGAAUUAAUGAAGCAAAAAGCACUGUUACAAGCAGUACUUGGGGAGUUCAGUGAAGGGGAAGUACAUGAUGAAGAUGAGUCUGAAUCAAAAACACCAGCUGUACCCGAAGAAGUUAUUCUUCUCGAUGAUUCCAGUAAUGAUGGUGGGAAAAUUAGCGGUUCUAAGAAAUUUGAUCGUAGAGAUAGAAAACAUUCAUCAAGUAAUGCUGAAAAGUAUUCGAAGAUUUCAUCGAGGAAAAAGCAUCGUGAACGUUCACCACAAUCAUAUCGACAUAGUUCGAGAGAUCGUCGACUAUCUAGAGAAAGAGAAAUGGAUCGUCGUAGAUCUAGAGAGAGAGAAAUGGAACGACGAUCUAGAGAUGAUAUAAUGAGAUCUAGAUCACGACAUGAUGUAGAUCGCGAUUAUAAUAGAAUGAGAGAGAAUUAUCAUCGAUCAAGAGAUCGUGCUGAUUCUAGAGAUCGACAUCGUGGUAAUUAUAGGGAUAGGGAAAGAGAUAGACAUUAUAGGCAUAGGCAUGACAGAGACAGAGAUAGGGUAGAUGAGAAAAAAGACAAAUAUAAAGAUUCAUUAAGUGAGGGACUAACUUUACAGAAAGAAGACUCGAGUGAUAGUGAAAUUGAUGCGAAUAUUGACAUCAAAGAAGAUGAAGAUGAAGAACAGAUUAUUGAACGGAGGAGAAAACAACGUGAGGAAUUAUUGAAGCGAUUGGGAGCUGUAAGUGAAGAUAGCAAUACAGUGCAAUCAAUAUCAUCAAGUCCCACAACAAAUAAUGCAUCCAACGAAUUAUCAAAAAUGAAAGUUGAAGCAACACCCCCAGAAACGAAUAAUGAAAUCAUUAACAUUGACGAUGAUGAACGGAACAAGUCUUUAACACCACCCGUUGUUAAUGUUGUACAAAAUAAUGGAAAAUUAAAGAAGAAUAAGGAAACUGAAGAAUCACAUACACCUCCAAUUCCACCUGCAAUGCUCAAACCUAAAACACAACAGGAAAUUAAGGACACAAAAGAAAAUAAAAAUACAAAGAAAUGUGAUUGGGAUAUGUUUGCUGAACAGGAUACCUUUGGUGUUGUGGACUCACCUGGUGGAGCUGCAAUUUCAAAUCGCCGUGGCCAUGAUAAUCCUGCAUUAACGGAUAAUUGGGAUGAUGCAGAAGGAUAUUAUCGUGUACGUAUUGGUGAAACGUUAGAUAAUCGCUAUGCUGUUUAUGGAUAUACGGGUCAAGGCGUAUUCAGUAAUGUUGUUCGAGCUAGGGAUCUUGCACGUGGCGGACAAGAUGUUGCUGUGAAAAUUAUUCGAAAUAAUGAAAUCAUGCAUAAAACUGGUUUACGUGAAUUAGAAGUAUUAAAACGGUUAAACGAUUCCGAUCCAGAAGAUCGAUAUCAUUGUAUGCGUUUAUUCCGACACUUUUUCCAUAAACAACAUUUAUGUAUGGUUUUAGAACCAUUAGCCAUGAAUUUACGUGAAGUAUUAAAAAAAUAUGGUAAAGAUGUUGGGUUACAUGUAAAAGCUGUCCGAAGUUAUACUCAACAAUUACUAUUAGCAUUACGUUUGCUCAAAAAAGCUGGUAUACUCCAUGCCGAUAUCAAACCCGAUAAUAUUUUAGUCAAUGAAAGUAAAUUAAUUUUAAAAUUAUGUGAUUUUGGUUCUGCUUCGCAUAUAAACGAUAAUGAAAUUACACCAUAUUUAGUAUCACGAUUCUAUCGUGCUCCAGAAAUUAUACUUGGUAUACCGUACGAUUAUGGUAUUGAUAUGUGGUCAGCGGCAUGCACAAUUUAUGAAUUGUAUACAGGACGAAUUAUGUUCCCAGGGAAAUCAAACAAUCAAAUGUUGAAAUAUUUUAUGGAUGCAAAAGGGAAAAUACCAAAUAAAGUGAUACGAAAAGGUGCAUUUAAGGAACAACAUUUUGAUACAAAUUGUAAUUUUUUGUAUCAUGAAGUUGAUAAAGUUACGGAACGGGAAAAAGUGGUUACAAUGUCUGUUGUAAAUCCAUCACGUGAUUUGCAAGCUGAACUAGUUGCCGGACAAGCAUUGCCGACUGAACAGACACGUAAAGUAACUCAAUUACGUGAUUUACUUGAACGUGCCUUGGCACUAGAUCCAGCUAAGCGGAUAUCAUUAAAUGCUGCACUAACACAUCCAUUUAUACAAGAUAAAAUCUAGCAGCAUUCAUCUGGUUAAAAAUAUGGACGUCAUUUUAUUGUCGGAGAAGAAGAAGCUGUUGUGUGACGAGAAGUUUUGUGGGUGAUGUGGUAUGCAGAGACUGGAAUAUGAAUAUCAUGAUGCUGCAGUGUCGAUUGAGAACUAGAUCCUGGGUUCUUUCUCGUCUGCAGGCUAAAGUGUUUCACACUAAAUGAAGAUGUGUAACUCCCACACAAGAUAAUUUUAAAUAAAAAAGUUAGUGGUCCAAAAUUGGAGAGGACAUUGGAACGUGAAGAUUGACGUGGAACUUUCGAGGUAAAAGGUAAAUUUUAAAAAAAUUCUGAAAGAUUUUGCUCAGAGAGAAGAUAACGUUCUCAAUGCUUGGAAUAGAAUAUGAAUUUUAGGUCUGGUUAUCUGGAUGGAAUUCUAAGCCAUCUGGAUGCGGGAUUAAAUAUUUUAAUUUGAAGUCUACCUGUUGUUUGGACAGACUUGAGAGAAAACAAUGUGAAUUGGGGAAAAGAGUUGGAAUGAGAGGUUAGAUGUUAGAUUUGUAUAAGAACAAAAGAAAUCUCCUAAAUUUCCACAUACUCUUUGUGAUUAGGUGUUAAAAAACAAACAAAAACCGCUGUAGCUCAGUUGCUUAAAGCGUAACCCAUUCCGUUUGUGGUAUGCCAAGGGUAGCGGGUUCGAUUCCCGCUGUCACAACCAUUGUGAUGGGUUGGUGUAGUGCAUGGUAGAUAAUAAUUAAGGGGUUGAUAAAUGAAAUUAUCGGCGGAAAGGUAGUAAACCACAUAAUGGUAUCACAAUGGGCCUUAUGGUCUAAGUGUGUCGCUCGUGUACAGCCAAUAUAACCUAACCUAACGGGUAUGUUAUCUUAAUGUACGAUUCAAACGAUAUUUCGUUGACAAAUCGCUAAACGAUUUUUAAUAUUUUGUGAUACAAUCUAAAAUGCAAAUCGAUUAUGAAUACUCAUCUGAUCCUUAGAAAAUAACCUUAAUUCGACUAAAACGUCUUCAAUCAAUGAAAACAUCCUGGGAUAUUGGGAAACACAUUGUACAAAUUGUAGAUUUGCACUCAAACAUUUUUUGUUGUCGUCUUUUGGAGCACUGGUUUUGUAGUAGAAGCAGAUUUACUUAUUUUCAACGAAUAUCUAAUUU